rnacentral:rRNA from 1 species
CAUAUACGGGGCCCUAUUAAUAGCACGCCCACCGUAUAUUGGGCUCCUGGUCCCUGAUGUUAGCGGCGGCCGGGUGAGUAACCCGGGGGUAACCUGUCCGUAAAACUGGGAUAACUCCGGGAAACCGGGGCUAUUCCCGGAUGGUUGUUUGAACCGCAUGGUUCAAACUUAAAAGGUGGUUUCGGCUACCACUUACAGAUGGACCCGCGGCGCAUUAGCUAGUUGGUGAGGUAACGGCUCACCAAGGCAACGAUGCGUAGCCGACCUGAGAGGGUGAUCGGCCACACUGGGACUGAGACACGGCCCAGACUCCUACGGGAGGCAGCAGUAGGGAAUCUUCCGCAAUGGACGAAAGUCUGACGGAGCAACGCCGCGUGAGUGAUGAAGGUUUUCGGAUCGUAAAGCUCUGUUGUUAGGGAAAAACAAGUACCGUUCGAAUAGGGCGGUACCUUGACGGUACCUAACCAAAAAGCCACGGUUAACUACGUGCCAGCAGCCGCGGUAAUACGUAGGUGGCAAGCGUUGUCCGGAAUUAUUGGGCGUAAAGGGCUCGCAGGCGGUUUCUUAAGUCUGAUGUGAAAGCCCCCGGCUCAACCGGGGAGGGUCAUUGGAAACUGGGGAACUUGAGUGCAGAAGAGGAGAGUGGAAUUCCACGUGUAGCGAUGAAAUGCGUAGAGAUGUGGAGGAACACCAGUGACGAACGUCACUCUCUGGUCUGUAACUGACGCUGAGGAGCGAAAGCGAGGGGAGCGAACAGGAUUACAUACUCUGCCAGUCCACGCCGUAAACGAUGAGUGCUUAGUGUUAUGGGGCUUCCGCCCCUUAGUGCUGCAGCUACGCAUUCCGCACUCCGCCUGGGGAGUACGAUCGCAAGACUGAAACUCAAAGGAAUUGCCGGGGGCCCGCAAAAUGUGGUAUAAUGCGGAUCUAUUCAAAAACAUUACGAGAA